CGAGUUACGUGUAUUCACGUUGAGAGUUCACAGGUCAAGGGUUGUCGGGGGGAGAGCAAGAUGGCGGCAGGCGGGUGACAUCGACAAGGAUUUGUCAGGCAGUUAGUACUUCGACAUAAUAGGCUUGUGCAGCAGUUAUCAUAUCCCGAGCAACUCUAGAAUUAGCCAGUCCAUUUAUGGCGCUGUUGUACAGCUUAUUGUGGCGGCUCUUGCUGUUUCUGCUUCACGGCAGAGCGCUCGUCUCCUGGCUCCGUGUCCGUCUGCGGAGCUGGAAGGGGCGGCUGUGGGAGCGGGCAAUAGCCACAUUACUACUCCCAAUGGCCCUAGCUGGCUUCCCGGACCACCGGAGGAAGUCAAACCAUAACCCCGACGCUAAUGGCACGGCCGGAAAUGGAAACUGCGCUCCCAAUCGCCGACACCGGUGGCUGAACGACGGCCGGUCUUUAGAGAAGUUGCCGAGCCACAUCGGCCUGUUAGUUACGGAAGAGGAGCCCAGCUACACGGACAUCGCCAACCUGGUAGUGUGGUGUAUGGCUGUUGGUAUAUCCUAUGUCAGCAUCUAUGAUAAUCACGGUAUUUUCAGGAAGAACAACUCCCGUCUGCUGGAGGUGAUAGUGAUGCAACAACAGCAUCUGCUAGGUACAGAGGGAUCCAAAUAUAAUGUGGAGUUCCUGAGUGAUUGCGCCGACAAACACCAUGAUAAUGUGGUGUCAUGCAGGCCCACAGCGAAGGUGCUGUCUCCGGAAGACGGAAAGCAGAGUAUUGUUCAGGCUGCACAGCAACUCUGUCGCUCUGUGGAAAAUAAAGAGAGGAGCUCCAAAGACAUCACCGUCUCCAUGCUGGACGCACUGCUCAGAGAGGCAAAUCAUCUUCCAGAUCCAGAGAUGGUGGUGAAGUUUGGACCUGUUGACAGCACUCUGGGCUUCCUCCCCUGGCACAUCAGACUCACUGAAUUCAUAGACCUGCUGGUGACAUUGGCCUUAGGUCAGGUCCUGUCCUUGUUGAUCUGUGCCAUCGGCCUGACUAGCAAGUACUUGGCUGAUGACUUCCACGCCAGCACACCAGUGUUCCAGAGCUUUCUCAGCUACAUCAUGCUGUUUCUGGUCUACACCACCACGCUGGCAGUCAGGCAAGGUGAAGGAAACUUGUUGGCCAUUUUGAAGCAGCGCUGGUGGAAGUACAUGGUUUUAGGUUUGAUAGACAUCGAGGCCAACUACCUGAUACUAAAAGCCUACCAAUACACCACACUGCCCAGUGUACAGCUGUUAGACUGCUUUGUCAUCCCAGUGGUCCUGCUGCUGUCCUGGUUCUUUCUAUUGGUGAGGUACAAGGCCGUCCACAUUGCAGGCACAGUAUUGUGUCUCUUGGCUAUCGGGUGCACGGUGGGGGCUGACGUCCUACUUGGCCGGCAGCAGAGCCUCGGGGAACAAAAGCUGUUUGGUGAUCUGUUAGUUUUGGGAGGAGCCACUUUGUACGGGAUCUCCAACGUUUGUGAGGAGUUCAUAGUGAAGAACCUGAGUCGCGUGGAGUUCCUGGGCAUGAUGGGUCUCUUUGGUUCGUUUUUCAGUGGCAUCCAACUGGCCAUAAUGGAACACAAAGAACUGCUGAAGGUUCCCUGGGACUGGCAGAUAGGUCUUCUCUAUGUGGCCUUCAGCGCCUUCAUGUUCAGCCUGUACAGCUUGAUGCCGCUGGUAAUGAAGAAGACGAGUGCCACCUGGAUCAACCUCUCUCUGCUCACAGCUCACCUAUACAGUCUCCUCUGUGGCCUCUUCCUCUUUCAUUACAGGCAUACACAUUUUAGCACUGCAAGUGCGGUGACAGAUUGCUGACCUCUCUGAAGCUUGAAAACAAAACAAAAUACACCAAAGCCCUUUUAUUGUUUUUAUUAUUUGAAGCGUAAACAUAAGUGUUUUCUGAUUACCUUCACAUAGAUAAGGUCUUAUUCACAGAAUAUAACAAUGAUAGCGUGGCAUGGCAUUCAUAGUCACUCAUCGGACUUGUCCGGAUUUCCGUUUUAUUAAAUUUUUUGUGUGCUAACUUUUCAAAGACGUCUUCAUCUGUCAACGGUUGAUGUCGGUUUUUGAUGCAGUGCCGCCUGAGGCAUCGAAGGUCACGGGCAUUCCAUGUCGGUUUUCGGCCUUGCCGCUUCCGUGCAGUGAUUUCUCCAGAUUCUCUGAACCUUUAGAUGAUGUCAUGGACCGGAGAUGAUGAAAUCCCUAAAUUCCUCGCAAUUGUACGUUGAGGAACAUUGUCCUUAAACUCUUCGACUAUUUUCUCACGCACUUGUUCGCAAAGAGGGGCACUUCGCCCCAUCUUUGCUUGUGAAUGACUGAGCAAUUCAGGGAAGCAAUCGUGGCACCCACCUGUUCCCAAUCAGCCUGUACACCUGUGGGAUGUUCCAAACAGGUGUUGGAUGAGUAGUGUAUUCAAUUAAAUCUAGGUCGAACAUGAUUUGCAAAUCACUGUAUUCUGUUUUUAUUGAUGUUUAACACAACGUCCCAACUUCAUCGGAAUUGGGGUUGUAGAAUAGUACAGGACGUGUAUGAGUGCAGCAGAACAUUGGUGAGGUGUGAGAAAGGAGAUUAAGGUGGAGGUGGAACUGCAUCAGGGAUAAACUCUGAGCCCCUUCCUGUGUGCAGUGGUGAUGGAUAGGCUGACAGAUGAGGUUAAACUGGAAUGCCCAUGGACCAUAAUGUUCGGAGAUGAUAUUGUGCUCUGCAGUGAAAGCAGGGAGCAGCUGGAGGAACGUUUAGGAAGCCUGAGGCAUGCACUGGAAAGGAGAGGAAUAAAGAUUAGCCGACAAAAUAUAUAGUAUGAGCAUGAAUGAGAGGGGGGGAGUGAGGCUACAAGGGGAAGAGUUAGACAGGGUGGAGGAUUUAAAAUACUUGGGUGCACAGUCCACCGCAAUGGGGAGUGUGAUAAUGAGGUGAAGAAACGGAUCCAAGCAGGUUGGAAUGGGUGGAGGAAGGUGUCAGGUCUGUGAUGUGACAGCAGAGUCUCUGUUUAUAAAGUUUAUAUGACAAUGGAGGACAGUAUGAUAGUGGUGAGGUCAGCCAUGAUGGACGGAUUAGAGACAGUGGCACUGAAGAGACAACAGGAAGCAGAGCUGGAGGUGGCCGAAAUGAAGCUGUUGAGGUUCUCUCUCGGGGCGACCGGGUUGGAUGGAAUUAGAAAUGAGCUCAUCAGAGGGACGGCCGAGGUUCGAUGUUUUGGAGACAAAGUUCGAGAGAGCAGACUUGGAUGGUUUGAGAGUAUAUUGGUAGAAGAAUGAUGAGGGAUGGAGCUACCAAGCAAGAGAGCGAGAGGAAGAUGUCGUGAGGGAAGAAGACAUGAUGGCAGUUGGUGUUCGAGAGGGGGAUACAGAAUUUUUCUUGCCUCUAUUUGUUGUCGUUCUUCAUCGUUAUCUUGGGCCUGGUGGUUUAUUCCUCUGCAUCCACCUAUGUGGUUCAGGACCCCCGAGUCUACAAGCAGUUCAGGAACACAGUCGACCAUCGUACCAGUGACCCA